CUCUAAAAACACGAGUAAGCUAGCUGCAUGUUUGCUUGCUGAGAAGUGUUUCAACGUUAUCCACAUUAAUGUUUCAAUGUGAACUUAGACAGUCUUAUUAAAUAUUGGGUCAAAAAGAGCACAAAAAGGUCGCAAACAGUGACGUCAGUAACUCAGAAUAACACCUCGUAACUCUGGACAUGUGAAGCCUGGUAAAGUCAGAUUACAGGCACUGCUGAAUAAACUGCGUGUUGCACUGGUAGAUUGCAAAGCCACAUGUGCUACACGGUGCCAGACUGAGAUAAGAGGAAAGGUACAGCCUCCCUGAUCUUGAGAUCAGUGAUCUCUUUGAAGAUGGCUGCAGACUGCACUUCUUCCAGAGGACACAUAAUGCCAUACUCCUCACAUCCAUGGGCCUGAACCAGGGGGUCCAUCCGGUGGGGGUCAAACAUGAUGUUGUUGGGUGUCACCAGCAACACCCCGCUAACCGCACCCUGAAUCAACAAACAGGGAGAAGGAAGGAGAGAGGAGGCAGUAAAUUGGAUCAAUAAAAACAUUGAUAUCACAAAAAGGAA